UCUUCGCUAGUAUAUCGGUUAGUAUAAUCGCCUCUCAGUACGAGAGAUCCUUCUCAGGUGUUCGCGAUAGAGCAGGGUUCGACUCCCUGGCGGAGAA
rnacentral:tRNA from 1 species